UCUGGAGAGUUUUAUUAUAACUGUUCAACAGUUUCAGCCAGUCAGGUUACAGUUGAAGUAUCAGCUGGUUUUAGCAUUUGUCAACUAGAUAUCUACGCCUUUCCAGUUGCUCCAGUCUUCCCUGCUAUGACCUCACAGCCAUCCACAAUAAACACUCAACAUGCUGAACAGAAUCAUGUAUAUCAGAUUGGAGAAACUGCUCAUGUGUUAUCUGGCUACAAUUUUGCGCUUUCCUGUAAUGCAUUUGGUCAUCCUACUCCAUCAUAUCAGUGGCAUACCCUUUCUCCCAAGGAAACACUUAAAAGUUCAAGCAAUGUAAAAGUCAAUGGCAACACACUCACUAUCACAGAUGUUCACAAAUCUAAUGAAAAUGACUACAAGUGCACUGCCAACAAUAGUAACGGCAUGAAUGAGCGAACUUCUCAACUGAAAGUGUACG